rnacentral:misc_RNA from 1 species
GCGAUGGCUCCAUUGUGCAAGUCAACUUUCAAGGAAGGCCCACCAAGCAUGUGCUUGUACUGCGUAGGAAUAACCUCCAAUAUUGCUACUGCACCAGCAACCGCACCAGCUGCCUGAGCAGGGAAUCGGGUGGCAACGGUAAAAAGAGAAUCUUUUCCAACCCCAGCAGCAUAAAACGCCGCUGUACCAGCAGGAUUAAAAGCGGCACCACCCAAAGCAUCGCCGAUAAUCCCAAAGACAAAGAAGAGCAUAAAAAGAAGCACAGUAGUAAUAAAUAGCGAAGCCAUUCCUUGAGCAAUCCCAAAAGCAGUAGCUAUAAGGUAAGUGAAAAUCCCCAGAGUGGAUGAACAAAACACCCACAUCAAUGUCAACACAAAAUCACCCACAGCUGCUUUUACAGCACCCAUUGAAUACAAAAUCUUUGAAAUUUUUGACUUUCUCUUAGCUUCUGAAAACUGAAAUUCUCUCCCACUCGGUGAAAGAAGAAGGAUAUUGAGAUGAUUAACCU